rnacentral:lncRNA from 1 species
UUAACAGCUGUUAAUUUGCUCUCUGGCUGGAGUACCUGUGUGGCAGCCCUGCGGUGCUGCACCGGGCAGGGUGGGGACAGGGACAGGGUCGGGCUGUGUGUGGCACGGGAAGGCCGGCACCGAUGCGUCAGGUCAGCCCGAGCAAAGGUUUUUUUCAGUCGGAUCGGGCUGGAACUUCACCGAAAAUUAUUUGUCCGUACUGCUGAUCCAAACGUGAAUUAGCUGGGUCAUGGCUUGCACUCUGCUUCCUCCCCGGAAAACCUGCUGAGGCAGAGCGCAGCGCUGCUGAUGCCCAACCGCUGCUUAUUCUGAGGCUUAAAGCAGGCUCCAAUCCAGCGGCUCUUCUGGAUGCAUUUCCACGUCCAUUCUUCCCAGAACUAGGUUUUUGGAUUCAGUAGAACUGCAGGAAGCACAGCCUGUGUUUAUCAGCCAGUGCAGUUGACUUCUCUCCCCACUGGGAAAUGACUUGCUUUUCAUCUAGUGUUCUCUCCAUAAGCUAUCAACAGUCACCAAACAAAACAGGCUUUAUAAAGAAACUUCCUGUAACCCUAGUUAAACUUUUCUUGCCUCAUCCCUGCAUCAAAAAGGUAAAGUCAUGCCUGUCUUUUGCAGCUCAAUGUCUUGCAUUGGUUUUCUAAGCUUAUUCUACUGAAGACCAUUAGAGUAUUUAAAGGCUGUUCCUGGGGCCAACUGGAGGAUGGCCUGUGGUGCCAAAAAAUAAUUGGUUUGUGAGGCAGAGUCUGCUUCUCUCCUUUAGUGAGUGACCUACUGAGUCAAAAGUUACUGGCAAGUCAUGUAUUAUUUUGAUCUUGGCAGGAGGUUGGCAGCUCAGCUAAGAGCUUGCAGGCAGAGGCACAGAAUGUGAAAUGCAGUUAUCUGCUCUCCAGUAGGAGUAGUGAGAGAAAAGCUGACACAUCAGGGCACCUAGACCAUUAGUGGUCUGCAGAAUACAAGCUCUUACUCAAACUCCACUCUGUGCCUCAAACCUCUUCUGUAGAAGAUGCAUAGGAAGCAAAUCACUGUUCAGGCUUCUAGCUCAAGAGUGAAAAGCAAGUAGUUCAAACUGACUUUAGAAAUGCUUUGGUAGAAUGGGUAGAAGUAGAAAAAGGCUUUGGGGCUGUUCACAUCAGGUUGGACUCAAAAUAUUCCUGAGAGAUGUGUUAAAUACUGUACCUGUGAUGCUUUAGUGGAGUAAGGGAGCUUCUUGUGUUUCCCUGUGCCAGUAUUAUCUCUUGUGACUCCUCAGAGUGGCUGCGUGCAGUAUGGCACGCACAAGGGGGCUGUGGGAGGAGAGCCUGGUAAGAGAACGUGCUUCUCUUCCUGCCCACUGGUUAUGGGGAUUUAUGGGAUUGUGUUUAAAAUAGGAACAGUUUCUCUGAAACUGAUGGGUUUAUCUCAGGAGCUCUUUAGCUCAGGGUAUGCCCCUUAAGUAAAUUAUGCAGCCUGUCUUCCCCAGGAUGAAGUGAUUGCAGCUACUCUUGUGUGAAACCAAGUGCAGCCCGUGGCCUCCUGGAGAGUGGCUAAUGCAGGCAGCUGAGCAAAGCUCAGGAGCUCAGAUUAGCUGCUGGGGUAAUGGCAUUGUUUUGAGCGUGAGGUCUUGGGUUGGUGAUGGCUAGUGCUAGCUGAAUGGAUGGGUUUUCUCAACAACUUCAGUUUGCCAGAGCAGCCUGACUGAUCCCUCUCCUGCUUCCACUACUGUCACUUGUCCAAGAUCAUACUGAUUUCUGGAAUGCAGAAAUGGCUGCAGUUGGUGAUUUGCCUUCAGUACCUCUCCUGAUUUCUUCCUGGAUGAAAACUCAGCAGCUAAUGUACCUUGAACUGCUUAGUUAGAUAAGCUCAUUAAUGCACAGAAGUCUUACUUACUGUUAAGUCAGAACCCAAACUGUCUUUUAAUAGACUACUAAAGGGGUUGGUUGUUUUACACCAGCUUAUUCACUGACUUAUGAUUGCUGUUUCCUGGAUGUGCUCUGUAGAUUACAGAAAUCAGCAUUCCUGUUUGCAUUCAGGCUAAGUUAUGUCUGUGCUGGAGGAAACUUUCAGCCCCUUAAUGGGAGUGACAAAGUCCAAGUAGCUGAGUCUUGGGCUCACUACUGAUCAACUUGUGUUUAUUUGUACCCUGUACUGGAUGAAGCUCAUGGCUUGCCUCACAGUGGGGCUGUGGCCAGAAGGGCUCUGCAGCUUAGCAGCAGUCCUGACAUCUCAUCCAGCCUUGGUCAGUGCUGGUUGAAGGCUUUAUUUUCCACACCUGUAAGGCCAGACUCUUUCCUGGACAGGUAAAAUCUUAUCUCUAUGGUAAGAGUAUCACCUACACAGCUGCCUUGGGAAAAUAUGGCUGAUCCCAAAGUUGCCUCCUAAAAUGAGUGGCCAGAUGUGCUCACUGGUGAUGCUGCUGGUGCUCAUCAAAUCCAGGCACAGCUGGGGUGAUCAUGUGAAAUUGUAGGUAUGUUGUUACAGGCAGCCUAAGAACUGCUGCAGUCACAUUGCUCUGGAGCAGCUGAGCUGCUGUGUCACCACUGCACCUCUGGAGAGAGAACACAGAGGAUUUGCUGAGUAGAUGCCAUGAGAGCAAACAGGCCUGGCCCAAGAGUUCCUCAGCUUUGGCCUGCACUGAACACAGAGAAGCUGGCGUGGAAGGAUACAAAGAACUGUAUUUGUACUUUCCUUAGGCAGAAAUACCAAUAUACACCAAAAAUUUAUGGUGGCUCUGGUACAGUCAGGCUGUAGGUGCAUUACAUUACUAGUGACACAUUUCUUUCAGACAAUUCCUAAUUCUUUUGGAGCUGGAGCAAGUACUUCUUGCCUUGCAUGUGAAACUGGAAUUACUGCAGCUAUGUGCCUUUUACCACUGAAGAAAACGGACUAAAAAUUCACUGUUCUUCCUAAGCAACAAAUUUGAGCAGAUCAGCUUGUUUGUUUUUACUUGUGCAAACAGAGCUACAAAAGGCAGAGAACUGUUUCAAGGUUUACAGUGUAGGUUGAAGCUACACCACUGUCUGCUGGUGCAGGGAAUGCUUAAUGGUCUGUGUGGUGUCACGUGAAAGACUGCAGGUUGUGGGACAAAGGUAUUGGAGAAAAUCACUCAUUUGAAUAUCUGUGUAUCUGGGAUCUAGGCUACAAUUCAGCUUAGUCUUUCCUAGGUUAAUGAGCAAAUGACUGAUGCUGCAGUUGUGUCUUAUUGCUGGUGUAAUGCUUUGGCUUCUCAAUUAGAGACACCAUGGAAGGAUGCCCUGAACAGAAACUACAGCGUUGGUAAUGUGUGCUGUGUGUUCUGAAAGAGUUGCUGCAGACAAACAGCUGCAGAGGGAAUGAACUGUGCUGGUUAGUUGAUUCCUUACAUGUGCCUUGUUUAGUAAGAAAGUUCCAUGCUGUGUGUUCAUUUUUCUGCAGCUGUUAUAAAUCAGAAUUGAUGAAGAGGAAAUGGAAGAGGAAGGCUGGGCUCUGACAUGCUGCAGGAGGGAGCUGCUCUAUCUCCACUUGAUAAAUGCAGGUUUAGUGCCUCAUCUCACUAGGUAGCUCCCAGUGCAGCCACUUGUUGCACCCCACAAUAUGUGAAGCUGACAGUCCAGCAACAGGAUCCUGCUGCCUGAGCUUGUGCUCCUGGCUUCACCCAGGCAUUCCAUGAGUGGCACACUGAAAGGAUGAAGUCUGACUUUUGGAGAGCCACCUGGUUUUAGAUCAGACCUAAUAAACAGAGCAUUUUCCAUCUCUGAUGGAAUCA